CUAGCUCAGUCCACUUUCCCUUCCUACCUCCAUGCUUUUCCCGAUUCUUUUAUUUGCUGCAGCCCACUCAGACUUUAUUCAAAGAUCAGGAAGUUCGGGUGCCCGGAGCCCAAGAGGCCCCGGGCCCUCAGGACGAUCGCCCCGGCUUCACUCAACGGUAUUUGGAGGUCAGCACGGUGC